UACGUAGGGGGGCUAGCGUUGUCCGGAAUCAUUGGGCGUAAAGCGCGUGUAGGCGGUCCGGUAAGUCCGCUGUGAAAGUCGGGGGCUCAACCCUCGGAUGCCGGUGGAUACUGUCGGGCUUGAGUACGGAAGAGGCGAGUGGAAUUCCUGGUGUAGCGGUGAAAUGCGCAGAUAUCAGGAGGAACACCAAUUGCGAAGGCAGCUCGCUGGGACGUUACUGACGCUGAGACGCGAAGCGUGGGAGCAAACAGG
rnacentral:rRNA from 1 species